GAAUGUACCUUAUGACCCGAAUGC
rnacentral:siRNA from 1 species